UGUCUGCUCGACCGCUCUCAACCCCGGGUACCGUCCGGAUUCCCGUCCGGGUGGGAGCCCGGAAGAUUGUUCGCUGCGAGUUUUGGUUCCGGAUCCGUGUGAAAGGGCCGCCGUCACUAUCUCGGAGCGGAGCGUGGGGAUGCGGAGUGGGCCCGGGGCCCGCUCGGAGGCUGGUGACAGACUGGUCCGGGAGUUCCUGCAGAGCGGAGCCACCGUGAGAACCAGAAUGAUGAAGAACUGGGGUGUUAUCGGAGGAAUAGCUGCAGCCUUGGCAGCAAGUAUCUACGUGUUGUGGGGACCACUUACUGAUAGGAAGAAGCGCAGAAAAGGCCUAGUUCCAGGCCUCUUGAACCUGGGAAACACCUGCUUUAUGAACUCGCUGGUCCAGGGUCUGGCUGCUUGUCCGUCCUUCAUUCGCUGGCUCGAUGAUUUUACCAGGCGUUACAACCUGGACAGCCCCCAGGAGGAGCGGUGUCCAUAUCUUUCUGUCACACUUCUCCGAUUGUUGCGAGUGUUAUCCAAUGGGGAAGAGACCACAGAGGAUGUGGUGGAUGCAGGAAGUCUCCUGGAAGUCUUGAGGAUGUACAAGUGGCAGAUGUCUUCGUUUGAAGAGCAGGAUGCUCACGAGUUGUUCCAUGUUCUCACCGCGGCUUUGGAAGACGAACGAGAUCGCCAACCUCGAGUUGCACAUUUAUUCGACGUUCAGUCUCUGGAGACUCCAACAGAACUGGAGGGAAAACAGCUGAGUUGUAGGAGCCGAGGGCCUUUGCUGCCGCCACCAAGUCCCUGGAGAUCUCAGCACCCCUUCCAUGGCCGACUGACCAGUAACAUGGUGUGCAAACGGUGUGAGCAACAGAGUCCCGUGAGGUACGACACAUUUGACAGUCUCUCUCUCAGCAUUCCAACAGUCACGUGGGGCAGACCUGUGACCCUGGACCUCUGCUUGCAACACUUUAUCUCUUCAGAGUAUAUCAAAGACGUGGUGUGUGAGAACUGUACCAAGGCAGGAGAAACACUGAAUGGGCAAACUGCAGAAAGCCAAAGGACAACCUUCAUCAAGCAGCUGAAAAUUGGAAAGCUUCCUCAGUGCCUGUGUAUCCAUCUGCAAAGGCUCUCGUGGUCCAACCAUGGGACGCCCCUGAAACGCAAUGAGCAUGUGCAGUUCAGUGAGCUCCUCUCACUCGAUACCUACAAGUACCGCAGCCCAUCUCAGAGGCUGGGCCAGCGCAGAAUGAGCAGACCGGCCAGCACAGGGAGUUUACCACGAAUGCUAGAGGGCACCAAGCCAGGAUCCACACAGCCCAGCCUCGGUAAAAUGCAAGUUGCAAAUGGAGCAUGCUCAUCAUCCCUGCUGUCAACUUCUUUUGCAACCUCACCAUCUCCUGUUACACAAAGUUAUGCCUCGUCGAUGUAUUUGUUCCGACUGAUGUCAGUGGUUGUCCAUCACGGUGACAUCCACUCAGGCCACUUUGUCACCUACCGUCGCUCGCCAUCGGCGUCAAAGAACCCAGCAGCAGUGAGCAACCAUUGGCUGUGGAUAUCGGACGACACGGUACGCAGAGCCAGCCCGCAGGAAGUCCUUGCCUCCAACGCCUACCUGCUGUUCUACGAGCGAGUUCGGCCGCUAGUGAGGCAAGCGAGCCGCGAACUCGGACCUGAGGAGUGAGCAUGUUGGCAGAGCCAGCCUUUCGGCUGCUGCUGUGAAGGGACAUACAGUCUUCACGGGUUUUUAGAGUAAACCAAUUGCUGGAAGGAAGUGGAGCCCCAUUAUUACCCACCCAGAUUCCCAAUUGAAUAUUUGUGCGGUGAACCAAAAAGAUCAAGAGGUCUAAUGUGUUUAAAUAAAAUAUUAAUUUGCCACCUAAUUCCAUCGCAAAAGAUGACAGUUGAACACUACAGCUUUCCAUCUGCUUCAGUCCUGUUUCAUAAGAAUAGAAGUGGGCCAUUCAGCUCCUUAAGCUCAUGCCAUUUAGCUAGAUCUUGGCUGAUCUAUUCCUGCAUUGUACCGUCUCCUUUGACAGCCUUGAAGAGCAAAAAAUCCAUCACUUCCAGUCUUGAAAAUUCCGAUUAUCUCAUCAGCCUUCUUGGGGCAGACUUCCAGAUUUCCCCCGUCCUAAGUAUGAAAAAGUGCUUCCUGAUACCAUUCCUAAAUGCUUGGCUGUAAGGGUAAUUUAAGAUUGUCUCGGUGAUGUUGUUUCCAUCCCUUGUUAAAUACAUGAUUUCAGAGAUCCCAGCACUAUUCUGCUCAUCUAAGCAGUUUAUCCCAAAGACUUAGGGUAUGAAUCAUGUGCUGUAGACGAAUCGCAGAUUGGGACUCCUUAAAGUGCCCUUAGUUUUGUAUGCUGUCAAAAAGUCUGCUUCAUUUUGUACCUACCGCAUGUCCCCAGGUUGGGAGAAGAUUGACUUUCCAAUGCCACCAGAAAUCUCCUUGGUGAUGGCUGUUAACCUGAGUCCAUGCCCUUCAUUGUAGGCAACAGACCUAUUCCUGAAACAUUCAUUGUAAAAUCAGUGCUUUCCUACUGAGAGGCAUUGAAGGGCAGUGCCAAGGGAGUCUGAUGUGCAGCAGGAUUGUGUGAAAAGACCGGACUGUACCGCAAGCACCUCAAUAUUCUACGUACCCAAUCAUGUGCCUCUGGUCUAGCCCAAAACAGACAUCCUUUGGCGUCAAGCUCCGAAUAAGUUGUUGGUGUGCCAGUUCAUCACCCUGAACUUAUAAAAAAAAGUUGUGCAUCUGUUGUGUCAACAUGCAAGCUGGAGAGAGUGGGAAAUGUUAAAUGUUUGAUUUUUAAUAUUUUUGUGAGAAAAAUAAUGAAAUUCUGAUUGAUUGUAUAAACAAGAAACUACAAAACGAAAGCAUUUUUUGCACUAACUCGUUAAUUGUACAUCUGUGUAUAUGUAUAUAUGAAUUAAAUUGUUGUAGGAGAGGUCAGUUUUAAUUUGUCAGACAGAAAAGUAAUAAAGUUUACUUACGGGCAAACAGAAAAUCUCCAUUU